rnacentral:rRNA from 1 species
GACGAACGCUGGCGGCGUGCUUAACACAUGCAAGUCGAACGAGAAAGGCUCUUCGGAGCUGAGUACAGUGGCGAACGGGUGAGUAACACGUGGGCAACCUGCCCCAUGGAGCGGGACAACCCGGGGAAACCCGGGCUAAUACCGCAUGAUUCGUACGGUCAUAAGUCCGUACGGGAAAUGGUAGCUUCGGCCUCCGCCAUGGGAUGGGCCCGCGGCGCAUUAGCUUGUUGGUGAGGUAACGGCUCACCAAGGCGACGAUGUGUAGCUGGGCUGAGAGGACGGUCAGCCACACUGGGACUGAGACAGGGCCCAGACUCCGACGGGAGGCAGCAGUGAGGAAUCUUGCGCAAUGGGCGGAAGCCUGACGCAGCAACGCCGCGUGUGGGAAGACGGCCUUCGGAUUGUAAAGCACUUUAAGUUGGGAGGAAGGGUAUUCACCUAAUACGUGGGUACUUUGACGUUACCAACAGAAUAAGCACCGGCUAACUCUGUGCCAGCAGCCGCCGUAAUAC